rnacentral:rRNA from 1 species
AUGCCUUAGUACGGCGAGUGAAGCGGCAAAAGCUCAAAUUUGAAAUCUGGUACCUUCGGUGCCCGAGUUGUAAUUUGGAGAGGGCAACUUUGGGGCCGUUCCUUGUCUAUGUUCCUUGGAACAGGACGUCAUAGAGGGUGAGAAUCCCGUGUGGCGAGGAGUGCGGUUCUUUGUAAAGUGCCUUCGAAGAGUCGAGUUGUUUGGGAAUGCAGCUCUAAGUGGGUGGUAAAUUCCAUCUAAAGCUAAAUAUUGGCGAGAGACCGAUAGCGAACAAGUACAGUGAUGGAAAGAUGAAAAGAACUUUGAAAAGAGAGUGAAAAAGUACGUGAAAUUGUUGAAAGGGAAGGGCAUUUGAUCAGACAUGGUGUUUUGUGCCCUCUGCUCCUUGUGGGUAGGGGAAUCUCGCAUUUCACUGGGCCAGCAUCAGUUUUGGUGGCAGGAUAAAUCCAUAGGAAUGUAGCUUGCCUCGGUAAGUAUUAUAGCCUGUGGGAAUACUGCCAGCUGGGACUGAGGACUGCGACGUAAGUCAAGGAUGCUGGCAUAAUGGUUAUAUGCCGCCCGUCU